rnacentral:tRNA from 1 species
GGUGCCGUGGCGGAGUGGUCUAACGCAGAGGUCUGCAAAACCUUUUUUCAUCGGUUCAAAUCCGAUCGGCACCUCCA